rnacentral:misc_RNA from 1 species
AAGUCGUAACAAGGUCUCCGUUGGUGAACCAGCGGAGGGAUCAUUACCGAGUUUACAACUCCCAAACCCCUGUGAACAUACCUAUCGUUGCCUCGGCGGUGCCCGCUCCGGCGGCCCGCCAGAGGACCCCCAAACUCUUGUUUUAUACAGUAUCUUCUGAGUAACACGAUUAAAUAAAUCAAAA